GAUGAACGCUGGCGGCGUGCCUAAUACAUGCCAGUCGAGCGAACAGACGAGGAGCUUGCUCCUCUGACGUUAGCGGCGGACGGGUGAGUAACACGUGGAUAACCUACCUAUAAGACUGGGAUAACUUCGGGAAACCGGAGCUAAUACCGGAUCAUAUAUUGAACCGCAUGGUUCAAUAGUGAAAGACGGUUUUGCUGUCACUUAUAGAUGGAUCCGCGCCGCAUUAGCUAGUUGGUAAGGUAACGGCUUACCAAGGCAACGAUGCGUAGCCGACCUGAGAGGGUGAUCGGCCACACUGGAACUGAGACACGGUCCAGACUCCUACGGGAGGCAGCAGUAGGGAAUCUUCCGCAAUGGGCGAAAGCCUGACGGAGCAACGCCGCGUGAGUGAUGAAGGUCUUCGGAUCGUAAAACUCUGUUAUUAGGGAAGAACAAAUGUGUAAGUAACUAUGCACGUCUUGACGGUACCUAAUCAGAAAGCCACGGCUAACUACGUG
rnacentral:rRNA from 1 species